CUGUCCUACGGGAGGCAGCAGUAGGGAAUAUUGCUCAAUGGGGGAAACCCUGAAGCAGCAACGCCGCGUGGAGGAUGAAGGUUUUCGGAUUGUAAACUCCUUUUGUUAGAGAAGAUAAUGACGGUAUCUAACGAAUAAGCACCGGCUAACUCCGUGCCAGCAGCCGCGGUAAUACGGAGGGUGCAAGCGUUACUCGGAAUCACUGGGCGUAAAGAGCGCUUAGGCGGGAUUGCACGUCAGCUGUGAAUUCCUAUGGCUUAACCAUAGAACUGCAUUUGAAACUGUUAUUCUAGAGUAUGGGAGAG
rnacentral:rRNA from 1 species